GGUUGUUUAAGUGAGGUGUGAAAGCCCUGGGCUCAACCUGGGAAUUGCAUUUCAGACUGGACAACUAGAGUACUUUAGGGAGGGGUAGAAUUCCACGUGUAGCGGUGAAAUGCGUAGAGAUGUGGAGGAAUACCGAAGGCGAAGGCAGCCCCUUGGGAAUGUACUGACGCUCAUGUGCGAAAGCGUGGGGAGCAAACAGGAUUAGAUACCCUGGUAGUCCACGCCGUAAACGCUGUCGAUUUGGGGAUUGGGCUUUAAGCUUGGUGCCCGUAGCUAACGUGAUAAAUCGACCGCCUGGGGAGUACGGCCGCAAGGUUAAAACUCAAAUGAAUUGACGGGGGCCCGCACAAGCGGUGGAGCAUGUGGUUUAAUUCGAUGCAACGCGAAGAACCUUACCUACUCUUGACAUCCUAAGAAGAGACUAGAGAUAGUCUUGUGCCUUCGGGAACUUAGAGACAGGUGCUGCAUGGCUGUCGUCAGCUCGUGUUGUGAAAUGUUGGGUUAAGUCCCGCAACGAGCG
rnacentral:rRNA from 1 species